GCUAUUUUAGCUCAGAUGGUAGGGCACAUGGAUUUUAAUCAUGUGGUUGUGGCUUCAUGUUCACAGAUGGUG
rnacentral:tRNA from 1 species